CCUACGGGUGGCAGCAGUGGGGAAUAUUGCACAAUGGGGGAAACCCUGAUGCAGCAACGCCGCGUGAGUGAUGACGGCUUUCGGGUUGUAAAGCUCUGUCUUCAGGGACGAUAAUGACGGUACCUGACUAGGAAGCCACGGCUAACUACGUGCCAGCAGCCGCGGUAAUACGUAGGUGGCGAGCGUUGUCCGGAUUUACUGGGCGUAAGGGGAGCGUAGGCGGACGUUUAAGUGAGAUGUGAAAUACCAGGGCUCAACUAUGGUGCUGCAUUGCAAACUGGGAGGCUGGAGUGCAGGAGAGGUGAACGGAAUUCCUAGUGUAGCGGUGAAAUGCGUAGAGAUUAGGAGGAACACCAGUGGCGAAGGCGAUUCACUGGACUGCAACUGACGCUGAGGCUCGAAAGCGUGGGGAGCAAACAGGAUUAGAUACCCUAGUAGUC
rnacentral:rRNA from 1 species